UUGUCGUUGUUGAAUGGUUCUGAAAGCGCUGCGUUAGGGGCGACUGCAGCCUGACGUUACGGGGGGACCUUCUUGCCGUGCUAUGUGAUUACGACGACAAGUACUGCCAGCAGCAACGUGACGCCGAUUUCUUCUUUGCCGACAUUACACAAGUGCAGCUCGCCGGACCGUGACAAGCAUCCGAAGUGUUGCGGUCUGCACUGCGUCGUCUUUCAUAGCGAUGUGAGAAAUCGUAACGCACUGACGCUGCCAGAUGCAUACAAAAGCCUACCAGCAGGAAGUGACUGUGCCAUUUUUCUCUUAACGUCUCAGGUAUUCAAGAAGUGGCAACUGCCACAGGAAGUAGCCAUCUUAUCCGGCACGUUAUGGGUACAACCUGGCUACUCUUGCACCUGCCUCCUGCCACUACCCCAUCCUGACUACAUCCACGAGAGAGUUGGCAGCCUUAGUGAUGAUGCCAAGCAGGCUGACAGCAG